GAAAUGGCCACUACGUCUAAGGAUGGCAGCAGGCGCGCAAAUUACCCACUCUCAACAUGAGGAGGUAGUGACGAGAAAUAACGAGACCGAUCUCUUAUGAGGCCGGUCAUCGGAAUGGGUACAAUUUAAACCCUUUAACGAGUAUCUAUGAGAGGGCAAGUCUGGUGCCAGCAGCCGCGGUAAUUCCAGCUCUCAAAAUGCAUAGAAUUAUUGCUGCGGUUAAAAGCUCGUAGUAGGAUCUGUGCUAGCCGGGCGGUCCUCACACGGGGUGUGCACUGGUUCGGUUGGCUUUUCUGCCGGUCUCUCCGCGGCGUUGGCCUUCACUGGUCGGCGUCGGUGGGCUGGCGAGUUUACUUUGAACAAAUCAGAGUGCUUCAAACAGACGUUUCGCUUGAAUGUUCGUGCAUGGAAUAAUAGAAGAGGAUUUCGGUCCGAUUUUAUUGGUUUUGCUGACCGAGAUAAUGGUUAACAGAGACAAACGGGGGCCAUUCGUAUUGCUACGUGAGAGGUGAAAUUCUUGGACCGUAGCAAGACGGACUACAGCGAAAGCAU
rnacentral:rRNA from 1 species